UAACGCGUGGGUAACCUGCCUCAUACAGGGGGAUAACAGUUGGAAACGACUGCUAAUACCGCAUAAGCGCACAGGAUCACAUGAUCUGGUGUGAAAAACUCCGGUGGUAUGAGAUGGACCCGCGUCUGAUUAGCCAGUUGGCAGGGUAACGGCCUACCAAAGCGACGAUCAGUAGCCGACCUGAGAGGGUGGCCGGCCACAUUGGGACUGAGACACGGCCCAA
rnacentral:rRNA from 1 species